GGGGCUGAUACUGGAUUCGACGGGACUCUCGAACUCUAAGGUGCAUGCCGAGGUGCGGUAGGCCUCGUUAAACAGCCGCAAACCAAUAGUCGCAAACGACGAAAACUACGCAAUCGCUGCUUAAUAGGCAGUAGAUAGCUCUUCCGCUCACGUAUGCCUGUAUGCAGAGAUAACGGAAGAUCACCCCUAACAGGAUCGCAUGGAGACUUCGCCUGGAGUCAAAAUGUUAAAACCAAUCAGGCUCGCCCGACGAAAGCCUGCCAUUCGGCGCUCAUAGGGUUAACUAAAUGAACUGGCUAAGCAUGUAGUACCGAAGAUUUAGGUUUUUCGGACGGGGGUUCAAAUCCCCCCAGCUCCACCA
rnacentral:tmRNA from 1 species